AGCGAACGCUGGCGGCAGGCCUAAUACAUGCAAGUCGAACGGAUCCUUCGGGAUUAGUGGCGGACGGGUGAGUAACACGUGGGAACGUGCCCUUUGGUUCGGAAUAACUCAGGGAAACUUGAGCUAAUACCGAAUGUGCCCUUCGGGGGAAAGAUUUAUCGCCAUUGGAGCGGCCCGCGUCUGAUUAGCUAGUUGGUGGGGUAAAGGCCCACCAAGGCUUCGAUCAGUAGCUGGUCUGAGAGGAUGAUCAGCCACACUGGGACUGAGACACGGCCCA
rnacentral:rRNA from 1 species